rnacentral:misc_RNA from 1 species
UAGACGCUCCGACAGAGUCUUUGACUUGCCUAGAGACGAACUUUCCCGUGCUUUUUAUAUAUCGAUGGCACCAGAACAUGUGACCAUCCAAACGUAAUACGACACGGAAUUACUUCGCCAAUCGGAUUGUUAUGGCAAGGUUCGCCGAUCACGUUUCUCUUUCUUCACGAAGGAUAUAACCCUUUGAUUUGAGCUCACGUGCUGUUGCCCCUUUGGGGUUGCCCUCCCCGGGGGCGUCGAACCCCCGGCGACGCCUCACUGACGCUGAAUGGUUGUUCAAUUGGACGGUUGAUACGCUCGGAAAGAUGGUACCGUAGCUCAGAUGGUUCCAGAACACGCUUGAUAAGAGUGGCGGCUGAAGAUCAAGGCUUCCCGGAGCCACCAUUGACCCGCUGAAUUUACCUGAUCCCUGGAGUUUUUGGUGCCCGGUGGUUGCGAUGGUUGGGGGUGUAGCUCGGCUGGGACAGCACCUGCUUUGCAAGCAGGCCGGCUUCGGAUCGAUCCCGCUCAGGUCCACCUCCCGCGGAACGCCGCUUAGGGGGGAAGCGGGGUAAUAUCCUUCUGAAGAAAAUAUAGUUUGCAUCGUAUGAAAGGACUGAUGCCUGGACAGAAUACAUUGUGAAGAGAAAAAAUGUGUGAAAACAACAAAGUGUUUUAAGCCCUCCUGGGUUGAA